rnacentral:other from 1 species
UAUUUUCUAGAAUACUCGUUAAGCUCUUAUUUUGAACCUACAUUACAUCAAAGGGAGUUCAAUACUUAGGAGUGGAUAUGUAGUUUCAUGUGAGACCUUUUACGGCAUUGAAAGUGAUUGAAGCAUCUGUGAGAGCACCCACCUAUCGAGAGAUAGGUGUCAAAAUAGAGUACCGGUAUUUUGGAUAUUAA